rnacentral:rRNA from 1 species
CAGCACCUCAAGUGGUCAGGAUGAUUAUUGGGCCUAAAGUAUCCGUAGCCGGCUCUGUAAGUUUUCGGUUAAAUCUGUACGCUCAACGUACAGGCUGCCGGGAAUACUGCAGAGCUAGGGAGUGGGAGAGGUAGACGGUACUCGGUAGGAAGGGGUAAAAUCCUUUGAUCUAUUGAUGACCACCUGUGGCGAAGGCGGUCUACCAGAACACGUCCGACGGUGAGGGAUGAAAGCUGGGGGAGCAAACCGGAUUAGAUACCCGAGUAGUCC